UACGUAGGGGGCAAGCGUUGUCCGGAUUUAUUGGGCGUAAAGAGCGUGUAGGCGGCUAGGUAGGUCCGUUGUGAAAACUCGAGCUCAACCUCGAGACGCCGGUGGAAACCAUCUAGCUAGAGUCCGGAAGAGGAGAGUGGAAUUCCGUGGUGUAGCGGUGAAAUGCGCAGAUAUCAGGAAGAACACCCGUGGCGAAGGCGGCUCUCUGGGACGUGACUGACGCUGAGACGCGAAAGCGUGGGGAGCGAACAGG
rnacentral:rRNA from 1 species